ensembl:misc_RNA Metazoa_SRP Metazoan signal recognition particle RNA
GCCAGGCAUGGUGGCUCAUGCCUGUAAUCCCAGCACUUUGGGAGGCCGAGACGGGAGGGUCACCUGAGGUCAGGAGUUCAAGACCAGCCUGACCAACAUGGUGAAAUCCCGUCUCUA